UACGGAAGGCAGCAGUGGGGAAUAUUGCACAAUGGGCGAAAGCCUGAUGCAGCUAUGCCGCGUGUAUGAAGAAGGCCUUAGGGUUGUAAAGUACUUUCAUCGGGGAGGAAAAACAAAACUAAUAAUUUUAUUUCUUGACGUUACCCGAAAAAGAAGCACCGGCUAACUCCGUGCCAGCAGCCGCGGUAAUACGGAGGGUGCUAGCGUUAAUCAGAAUUACUGGGCGUAAAGAGCACGUAGGUGGUUUUUUUAAGUCAGAUGUGAAAUCCCCUGGGCUUAACCUGGAACUGCAUUUUGAAACUGAAAUACUAGAGUAUCGUAGAGGGAGGUAGAAUUCUAGGUGUAGCGGUGAAAUGCGUAGAUAUCUGGAGGAAUACCUGUGGCGAAAGCGGCCUCCUAAACGAAUACUGACACUGAGGUGCGAAAGCGUGGGGAGCAAACAGGGAUUAGAUACC
rnacentral:rRNA from 1 species